rnacentral:piRNA from 1 species
UCACUCGAUUUUCUGCUGCCCUGGCCUCC